AGUGAACGCUGGCGGUAGGCCUAACACAUGCAAGUCGAACGGCAGCACAGUAAGAGCUUGCUCUUACGGGUGGCGAGUGGCGGACGGGUGAGGAAUACAUCGGAAUCUACUUUUUCGUGGGGGAUAACGUAGGGAAACUUACGCUAAUACCGCAUACGACCUACGGGUGAAAGCAGGGGAUCUUCUGACCUUGCGCGAUUGAAUUAGCCGAUGUCGGAUUAGCUAGUUGGCGGGGUAAAGGCCCACCAAGGCGACGAUCCGUAGCUGGUCUGAGAGGAUGAUCAGCGACACUGGAACUGAGACACGGUCAAGACUCCUACGGGAGGCAGCAGUGGGGAAUAUUGGACAAUGGGCGCAAGCCUGAUCCAGCCAUACCGCGUGGGUGAAGAAGGCGUUCGGGUUGUAAAGCCCUUUUGUUGGGAAAGAAAAGCAGCAGGUUAAUACCCCGCUGUUCUGACGGUACCCAAAGAAUAAGCACCGGCUAACUUCGUG
rnacentral:rRNA from 1 species